rnacentral:rRNA from 1 species
UACGGAGGGUGCAAGCGUUAUCCGGAUUUACUGGGUUAAAGGGUGCGUAGGUGGGUCUGUAAGUCAGUGGUGAAAUCUUCAAGCUUAACUUGGAAACUGCCAUUGAUACUAUAGGUCUUGAAUUAUCUGGAGGUGAGCGGAAUAUGUCAUGUAGCGGUGAAAAUGCUUAGAUUAUGACAUAGAACACCAAUUGCGAAGGCAGCUGGCUACACGAGCAUUGACACUCAGGCACGAAAGCGUGGG